GGGCGAUUAGCUCAGUCGGUAGAGCAGCUGCUUUACACGCAGCAUGUCGGCGGUUCGAGUCCGUCAUCGCCCACCA
rnacentral:tRNA from 3 species